rnacentral:siRNA from 1 species
UUGGUUUACCUGUGUAUAUAGCA